rnacentral:rRNA from 1 species
AACGUAGGUGGCAAGCGUUAUCCGGAUUUACUGGGCGUAAAGGGUGUGCAGGCGGCUGACCAAGUGGUGUAUGAAAUCGCCGGGCUUAACCGGGCGAGGUUAUGCCAGACUGGUCGCUGCGAGACCGAGAGAGGGACGUGGAAUUCCGGGUGUAGUGGUGAAAUGCGUAGAGAUCCGGAGGAACACCAGAGGCGAAAGCGGCGUCCUGGCUCGGUACUGACGCUCAGACACGAAAGCAUGGGGAGCGAACGGG